rnacentral:rRNA from 1 species
AAACCAGCACCUCAAGUGGUCAGGAUGAUUAUUGGGCCUAAAGCAUCCGUAGCCGGCUCUGUAAGUGUUCGGUUAAAUCUGUACGCUCAACGUACAGGCUGCUGGGAAUACUGCAGGGCUAGGGAGUGGGAGAGAUAGACGGUACUCGGGAGGAAGUGGUAAAAUGCUUUGAUCUCUCGAUGACCACCUGUGGCGAAGGCGGUCUAUCAGAACACGUCCGACGGUGAGGGAUGAAAGAUGGGGGAGCAAACCGGAUUAGAAACCCGAGUAGUCC